rnacentral:rRNA from 1 species
CCUACGGGAGGCAGCAGUGGGGAAUUUUGGACAAUGGGGGCAACCCUGAUCCAGCAAUGCCGCGUGAGUGAAGAAGGCCUUCGGGUUGUAAAGCUCUUUUGUCAGGGAAGAAACAGCAGCUCUAACACAGACUGCGAAUGACGGUACCUGAAGAAUAAGCACCGGCUAACUACGUGCCAGCAGCCGCGGUAAUACGUAGGGUGCGAGCGUUAAUCGGAAUUACUGGGCGUAAAGCGUGCGCAGGCGGUUAUACAAGACAGGCGUGAAAUCCCCGGGCUUAACCUGGGAAUGGCGUCUGUGACUGUAUAGCUAGAGUGUGUCAGAGGGGGGUGGAAUUCCACGUGUAGCAGUGAAAUGCGUAGAUAUGUGGAGGAACACCAAUGGCGAAGGCAGCCCCCUGGGAUAACACUGACGCUCAUGCACGAAAGCGUGGGGAGCAAAACGAGGAUUAGACUACCCGUGGUACGUCCACGCCCUAAACGAUGCUGACUAGUUGUUGGGAAUUUACAUUCUCAGUAACGUAGCUAACGCGUGAAGUNAGCGCCGUCGGGNGGUACGGUCGCGAGAGUAAACGUACAAGUAGAGUUAGAGGCGUGAGACGUUAGCCGACGGACGACGACGAGGGGAGGUAGG